AAAUUUGGAGGGGUUCCCGAGUGGCCAAAGGGAGCAGACUGUAAAUCUGCCGGCUCCGCCUUCGAUGGUUCGAAUCCGUCCCCCU
rnacentral:tRNA from 1 species